CGUGCAGGCGGCUUGGUAAGUCGGGUGUGAAAUCCCGGAGCUCAACUCCGGAACUGCACCCGAUACUGCCUCGCUAGAGUCCCGGAGAGGAUGGCGGAAUUUCCGGUGUAGAGGUGAAAUUCGUAGAUAUCGGAAGGAACACCAGCGGCGAAGGCGGCCAUCUGGACGGUGACUGACGCUCAGACGCGAAAGCGCGGGGAGCAAACAGGAUUAGAUACCCUGGUAGUCCGCGCUGUAAACGUUGGGUGCUAGGCGUCGUGGGUAUUGACCCCCGCGGUGCCGAAGCUAACGCAUUAAGCACCCCGCCUGGGGAGUACGGUCGCAAGACUAAA
rnacentral:rRNA from 1 species